GCCCCCUUCGUCUAGUGGCCAAGGACACCGGGUUCUCAGUCCGGUAACACGGGUUCGACUCCCGUAGGGGGUA
rnacentral:tRNA from 1 species